rnacentral:rRNA from 1 species
AUUGAGAGUUUGAUCCUGGCUCAGGACGAACGCUGGCGGCGUGCCUAACACAUGCAAGUCGAGCGAUGAAGCUUCUUCGGAAGUGGAUUAGCGGCGGACGGGUGAGUAACACGUGGGCA